GGGAUGUGAUGAGUGGUAUCAGCUCGCUAUGUGCGAGAGGGGUGUCCGCCCCAACUAAGCCUGUUACGACAAUGGGGCACCCCAGUGACUUACCAUCUGAUCCC
rfam:Triticum aestivum genome assembly, contig: Triticum_aestivum_CS42_TGACv1_scaffold_394278_5AS